UGCCUAAUACAUGCAAGUCGAGCGGAAUCGAUGGAGUGCUUGCACUCCUGAGAUUUAGCGGCGGACGGGUGAGUAACACGUAGGCAACCUGCCCUCAAGACUGGGAUAACUACCGGAAACGGUAGCUAAUACCAGAUAGGAUAUUUGGCUGCAUGGCCGAAUAUGGAAAGGCGGAGCAAUCUGUCACUUGAGGAUGGGCCUGCGGCGCAUUAGCUAGUUGGUGGGGUAAUGGCCUACCAAGGCGACGAUGCGUAGCCGACCUGAGAGGGUGAACGGCCACACUGGGACUGAGACACGGCCCAGACUCCUACGGGAGGCAGCAGUAGGGAAUCUUCCGCAAUGGACGAAAGUCUGACGGAGCAACGCCGCGUGAGUGAUGAAGGUUUUCGGAUCGUAAAGCUCUGUUGCCAGGGAAGAACGCCAGAGAGAGUANUUGCUCUUUGGGUGACGGUACYUGAGAAGAAAGCCCCGGCUA
rnacentral:rRNA from 1 species